GGCCCCGGCCCCGCGGGCGCGCAUGCGCGGCGGCCCCGCUGGCAGAGAGGCAGGGCGGCCUCCCCUGGGCUGUGACCUACUUUGCACAGCGUCGCCUGGGGCUGCCGCGCGGCCCCUCCCGCCCCCCAAGCUAAGCAGGGCCCGCCGGGGCUGCCGCGCGGAUGGGGGACCGCGGCGCAGCAGGCCCGGAGGGGGCUGCGGCAGGAUGCGGUUCCGCGCUGCGGGCGCGGAGCUGGGGCGCGGUUGCUCGCAGGGCUGCGGUGCACGCUUCCUGGGGGGUGGCGGUGGCCUUGCCCCAGCUGCCAGUUGAGCUCCCCCGUGACGAGCUGCCCGCAGCUCCUUGCAAGCGCUGCUGCUUUCGUGCUGCUUGACGGGGCGAACACGUGCCGCCUCACCCGGCAGCUUCCCAAAGGGGAUCCUGCGGCGGGGGGAGGUUGUGCUCCCUCCGCUGAGCAGGGACAAGUCGGGAGCUUAUGCUGAGCCAGAUGUGACCACGCGCAGCUGCAGAGGGGCCGGGGCAGUGGGUCUCAGACUGAGCAUGAGUCAGACCACGGGGCUGUGAAGAAGACAUCCUGUGAGGCGGCGUGAACAGGAGCAGCAGCCGGAGGUGCAAAUGAGGUAAUCCUCCCACCCAGCCCAGCACUGGGGAGGCCACCUCAGGUACCCAGCAAGACACGGGUGAGCCACGGGCAAAAUGCUGCUGGAAACCCCAGCCUGCAGAGAGGGACUGGAGAAGGCUGUGGGCAUCACGGCAGGCUAGUCACAUUUUGACCCAAACUGAACAAAAUGAAUAAAAACUCCAGUUAACACUGUG